UGGAGAGGGAGAGUAUUUCAGCGGUAGGGGAGAGGAGAUGGAGCGGCAGAUGUCCAGAACAGCAAGAAGACCAGUUUGGCUGAACUAGAGAAUGUGGUAAGGGGAUGAAUGUGUAAUAAGCCUGCAGAGACUCUGGGGGCCAAGCAGGACAAAUAAAAUUCCUCUUCCACAUGUAGCCAUCUGGGGAACCCAACUCAACUCAGCUUGUGGAACCCAAAUCCUUCAGGAGCAGCUAGGCAGUACAGUGGUCUGGAGUGAGGAAGACCUGAGUUUACAUCCACCUUCAGAUACCCUCAGCCACGUGAUCCUGGCUGCUGUUGCUGUGGGGAGUUACUACCAGUAUGAACAGGAACUCCAGCUCUUCUGACCAUUUGAAGUUCACAAAGUUGUCAUCAGGUCAAUGGAGUUGGGGAGAGGGAGAAAAGGAAAUUCUGCUCUGGAGUCCUUUACUACUGCCAUAUAUGACUAUUCCCUCAACUGGCCUGCAACUGGAAUGUUUGAAAUCCAGGAUGGUCUUACUCUUUUAUCCAUGGCCUCAAAGACCACGACUAAUUCUUUUCAACAAAUCACAAGACAUUUCCAGGAUGGGAGACAUCAUCUUCUAGUGGAAAGAAGAGUGGCUCUGGAGACCUGUGUGACCUUGGGCAAAUCACCAUUAACAUCACUUGAUGAGCUUCAGUUUCCUUAGACAUAAGUUGGGGUGGAGGUAGGAGGGAAUAAGCAUUUAUUAAGCAUUUAUUAUAUGCCAGGCAGUGCGCUAAGGGCUUUUACAAAUAUUAUCUCAUUUGCUCCUAAUAACAAUACUACCAGAUCGGUACUAUUAUCAUGGCCAUUUUACAUUUGAGGAAACUGAGGCAAUCACAAGUUAAGUAACAUGCCCAAGGUCACAUAGCUAGUAAAUGUUUGAAGCCAGAUAUGAGCUUGAAUCUUCUUGACUCUAAGCCCAGAGAUCUAACCCCUGGACCACCUGCCUCUAAAGUUCUUUUAGGUCUAAAUCUAUUCUAUGAGCCUAUCGAUUUCAGCAAAUGACCUGAAGCCUCUAUGAUUCCUUCAAAUUAGGGAUUUAUUCAUACUUGGUUUACUUUUGAUUGAUUUAUUGAAUUAAGAUGUCUAGGCUUUCAUGAUUAAUAGGACUAGAGUGAAUAUUAAUAGGCUACAAGUAAGUAUGAAAUACAUCCAAAGUGUUUGGAUGGGAGAAGUAACAUCAGGAAGAGUCAGAAAAAAGUUUCUUGUAGGAAAUGACUCUGGAGGUGAGCCUUGACAGAACUUCUGGGGUUUUUUUUGGGGGGGGAGAUGAGGAGGGAGUACAUUCCAGUCAUGGGGGACUCUCUCUGCCUAUGCCUGGAGAUGAGAGAUUUAUACCAGGUAAGUUUCUCUGGAAUUAGAGUGCUGGGGUCGGGGUGGGGAGGAAGUAAUGUAUAAUCAUCUUGGAAAGAGAAGUUGGAACCACAUUUGGGAAGAGCUGAACAGAGGAGUUUGUGAAUACAAAUAUUUCUCCAGGCAAUACAGCCAGAGACUAAUGUAUUUCAGUUCUCAAAUAAAGGCUGCAAGAGUUAGUGGAAAUGACCAAUUGGGAAUUAGGAGACCCGGUUAUAAUUCCUUGUCUGCUACUAACUAUGGUGUUGUAAUAUUGGGCAAGUCUCUUUACGUGAAGCCAAAGUUUAGUUGUUGUAUCAGAUAAGAUAAAGCAGGUACAGUGCUUCAGCUAUUAUCAUCAUUGAGUUCUAGGCUCUGUGCUAAGCGUUUCUUACAAAUAUCUCAUUUGAU